rnacentral:rRNA from 1 species
UGAGGAGCUUGCUCUUCAGAUCGAGUGGCGAACGGGUGAGUAACGCGUGAGGAACCUGCCUCAAAGAGGGGGACAACAGUUGGAAACGACUGCUAAUACCGCAUAAGCCCACAGCUCGGCAUCGAGCAGAGGGAAAAGGAGUGAUCCGCUUUGAGAUGGCCUCGCGUCCGAUUAGCUAGUUGGUGAGGUAACGGCCCACCAAGGCAACGAUCGGUAGCCGGACUGAGAGGUUGAACGGCCACAUUGGGACUGAGACACGGCCCAGACUCCUACGGGAGGCAGCAGUGGGGAAUAUUGCACAAUGGGGGAAACCCUGAUGCAGCGACGCCGCGUGGAGGAAGAAGGUCUUCGGAUUGUAAACUCCUGUUGUUGAGGAAGAUAAUGACGGUACUCAACAAGGAAGUGACGGCUAACUACGUGCCAGCAGCCGCGGUAAAACGUAGGUCACAAGCGUUGUCCGGAAUUACUGGGCGUAAAGGGAGCGCAGGCGGGAGAACAAGUUGGAAGUGAAAUCCAUGGGCUCAACCCAUGAACUGCUUUCAAAACUGUUUUUCUUGAGUAGUGCAGAGGUAGGCGGAAUUCCCGGUGUAGCGGUGGAAUGCGUAGAUAUCGGGAGGAACACCAGUGGCGAAGGCGGCCUACUGGGCACCAACUGACGCUGAGGCUCGAAAGUGUGGGUAGCAAACAGGAUUAGAUACCCUGGUAGUCCACACCGUAAACGAUGAUUACUAGGUGUUGGAGGAUUGACCCCUUCAGUGCCGCAGUUAACACAAUAAGUAAUCCACCUGGGGAGUACGACCGCAAGGUUGAAACUCAAAUGAAUUGACGG